UACGGAGGAUGCAAGCGUUAUCCGGAAUGAUUGGGCGUAAAGCGUCCGCAGGUGGCUAUGUAAGUCUGCUGUUAAAGAGUGAGGCUCAACCUCAUAAGAGCAGUGGAAACUACAUGGCUAGAGUGCGUUCGGGGCAGAGGGAAUUCCUGGUGUAGCGGUGAAAUGCGUAGAGAUCAGGAAGAACACCGGUGGCGAAAGCGGCUCUCUGGGACGGUACUGACGCUGAGACGCGAAAGCGUGGGGAGCAAACAGG
rnacentral:rRNA from 1 species